UCUUGUUGCAGGGUUUGGCUUUUCCCGGGAACAGAGCUCAAAUGCCUUAAUAAUUCACGGAACGUGGAGAAAUCACUUGAGGCACUGUCCAAAAUAUCUGGAAUCCUCUAUAAUGGCAGUUAUCCAACUGCAAGUGUUACCUAUCCUGCCAAAGUGGACUGUGUCUACAGCACCUCUACAACAUCAGAGUUCCCCUCAGCCCCAAAACCUCAUCAGGCCCAGCAUUCACAAAGCCUUCAGAACAGACACAAGACCAACACCCCCAUAAGGACCAUGUCGGAAAACUUUCCCGUAGUAACUAAAUUAUACCCUAUUUGGGUUGGAAACUUGGUCCCUUCAGCGACGGAGGCUAUGAUUAUAGAGAGAUUUGAGGGGUAAGUGAAUGCACCACAUAUUUUAAUUGAACCCUCAGGGAAGUGGGGCAGUAAGAAAGAUCUCCUUUACACACCAUUCAUUUAGA